UUGUGGAAGAGAGGUGAAAAAGAGAGUGCAGGCAGGGUGGAAUGGAUGGAGAAGAGUGUCAGGAGUGAUUUGUGACAGAUGGGUAUCAGUAAGAGUGAAAGGGAAGGUCUACAGGACGGUAGUGAGACCAGCUACGUUAUAUGGGAUAACAACAACAACAACAAUAACAUUUAUUUCUAUAGCACAUUUUCAUACAAAAAGUAGCUCAAAGUGCUUUACAUAAUGAAGAAUAGAAAAAUAAAAGACAAAAUACAAAA